UACGAAGGGGGCUAGCGUUGUUCGGAAUUACUGGGCGUAAAGCGUGCGCAGGCGGCUUCUCAAGUCAGGGGUGAAAGCCCAGAGCUCAACUCUGGAAUUGCCUUUGAGACUGAGUGGCUUGAGUACGAGAGAGGUGAGUGGAAUUCCCAGUGUAGAGGUGAAAUUCGUAGAUAUUGGGUAGAACACCGGUGGCGAAGGCGGCUCACUGGCUCGUAACUGACGCUCAUGCACGACAGCGUGGGGAUCAAACAGG
rnacentral:rRNA from 1 species